rnacentral:lncRNA from 9 species
GCGGAUGGAAAGAGGGAGAGAUAGAAGAAUGGAGAAGAAUGGAGAAACACAGCCCAUGAAGCUGCCGGCCCAGGGUCCGCAACUGGCAGAAGGCGGCGGCUCUCAGGACAGGCUGCUGAAUCCGGAACCACGGCUCCAUCGCCACCAGCUUUGUGGCCACAGGCAAUUAUAAGCAGUACAGCGGCCGCCUUGUGGGCAGUGCGGUGGGAUUCACAUGGGCUUUCCAGCUGCUAAGGACGUCUUCGCCUUAUUGGGAUCGGCAGAGUAAUUGACACGUCCACACUCUGUGUAAAACGGACGACCUACUGUAGAGCACAGGGAACUCUGCUCCGCGUUUUGUAAGACCGUAGGGAAAAGCAUCCAAAAAGGCGUAUCUAGAAAUCACCGCCCUGGACACCCGAAGCUAUAACACGACCUUAGAAACCAACCGCGUUUCAAUUAAAAACCAAUCUUAUCUCAGAGCAGAGGGCUGGCCGUAUAAUUCAGGGUUGGAGGAGGAUGUAACUUGGACCCGGUGAGACCCCUCCGUUUCGGGCUGGCUUCCUGUUUGCAGCUCACGUACACGGAUAACCGAACACGUUCAUGGGUUCUAGGCGAGUGGUCACAGCGUGUCAACCUUAAAAACCAUGGAGCUGAGGACUAGAUUCUCACUCUUUCCUUGGGGCCUGGUUUCCCUGUGGUCAGAGGACAACAAAACCGCAGUUACCACCGUUUUCAGUGUUUCCCAGAGGACGGGGGCGGGGGGGUCACCUGCGUCCCUGGCGAUUUGGUUCCUGGUGCCUUUAGGUGACUAAAUUCCUCUCCUCCUCCUUUGCUUUUUCAGAUGAAUUUAUUUCUUUUUAUUUUUUGCUUUAUUUAUUUAUUUUUUUUAGGGGUUCCCAGGCUAGGGGUCGAAUCAGAGCUGCAGCUUCCGGCCGACAGCACAGCCACAGCAACACCAGAUCCAAGUCGUGUCUGCGACCUACACCACAGCUCAUGGCAACGCCGGGUCCUUAACCCACUGAGCAAGGCCAGGGAUCGAACCUGGGUCUUCAUGGAUACUAGUUGGGUUCUUAACCUGCUGAGCCGGGACAGGAACUCCCAAACUAGCUUUAAUGGACAGUUACUCAGGCAACACUUCACCCGGGUAAAUGUCCACAAAACACUGUGUGGGCUGCGUUGCACAUGGUUGGGCCCAGGGGAGAAAUUGCUGGAUGCAGACUCAGAAGACAUGGCUUCAUGCCCCCACCACGAGGUUACACCUCUGUGACGCUGUGGACAUCGUCAAGGAUACGGCGGCCGCGGUGACACAUGCCAGGCUUGUGUUCUAGCAGGGUUUGCUGAGGAACAAAUGUGGUUGCAGAUUUGGAAGUUUCGAGGCGCUGGUAAAACACAUACAAAUGCUCAAGAAAAAAAAAAAA